UACGUAGGCAGCAAGCGUUGUUCGGAAUUACUGGGCGUAAAGCGUGCGCAGGCGGCUUUGCAAGACAGAUGUGAAAUCCCCGGGCUUAACCUGGGAACUGCAUUUGUGACUGCAUCGCUGGAGUGCGGCAGAGGGGGAUGGAAUUCCGCGUGUAGCAGUGAAAUGCGUAGAUAUGCGGAGGAACACCGAUGGCGAAGGCAAUCCCCUGGGCCUGCACUGACGCUCAUGCACGAAAGCGUGGGGAGCAAACAGG
rnacentral:rRNA from 1 species